rnacentral:tRNA from 1 species
CAGAAAAUAGUUUAAAAUAAAAUACUGAUUUUGGGUAUCAAUGAUCUUAAUAUAAGUUUUCUGA